rnacentral:misc_RNA from 1 species
GGAAGAUCUUGCUCUAGGUCGUGUCAAUCCAUCGAUAAUGGACAUUAAGAUUGGUUCAAGAACCUGGGCACCCGAAGCAUCCGAGAAAUAUAUUCAGAAGUGCUUAAAAAAAGAUCGAGAAUCGUCAAGCCUUUCAUUAGGAUUCAGAAUAUCGGGGUUGCAAAUCUAUAGAAGCAAAGAACUAGGAUUAUGGAAGCCUGGAAAGAAAGCUGCUCAGAAACUCUCUAGAGAGGAAGUCAAGUUAGUCCUGAGAAGGUUUGUUUCUUCAAACACAUUGAAUGAUUUGGAUUCGAGACCAGACUGCGCUUUCGCAUCAACUGUUUAUGGUGGAUCUACUGGCAUUUUAUCUCAGUUACUGGAGCUGAAAGCUUGGUUUGAGGAUCAAACUAUAUUCCAUUUGUAUUCUUGCUCAAUUCUGGUGAUUUUUGAAAAAGAGUUGGCAUUGAAAGGAAAGAAUCCAGGUGCACAAAUCAAACUGAUUGACUUUGCUCAUGUUUACGAAGGACGAGGUGUCAUUGAUCAUAACUUCUUGGGUGGUCUCUG